CCCGGUGAGAGUGGCGCACGGGUGCGUAACGCGUGAGCAACCUGCCCGUCCCAGGGGGAUAGCCCGGAGAAAUCCGGAUUAAUACCGCAUGAGAAUGCAGGUCCGCAUGGGCCUUCAUUUAAAUAUUCAUAGGGGACGGAUGGGCUCGCGUGACAUUAGCUGGUUGGCGGGGUAACGGCCCACCAAGGCGACGAUGUCUAGGGGCUCUGAGAGGAGAAACCCCCACACUGGUACUGAGACACGGACCAGACUCCUACGGGAGGCAGCAGUAAGGAAUAUUGGUCAAUGGGGGGAACCCUGAACCAGCCAUGCCGCGUGCAGGAAGACGGCCCUACGGGUUGUAAACUGCUUUUGCACGGGAAUAACCCCCGGUAUGUAUACCGGGCUGAAUGUACCGUGAGAAUAAGGAUCGGCUAACUCCGUGCCAGCAGCCGCGGUAAUACGGAGGAUCCGAGCGUUAUCCGGAAUUAUUGGGUUUAAAGGGUGCGUAGGCGGCGCGCUAAGUCAGGGGUGAAAGACGGUGGCUCAACCAUCGCAGUGCCUUUGAUACUGGCGCGCUUGAAUGUACCUGAGGUAGGCGGAAUGUGGCAAGUAGCGGUGAAAUGCAUAGAUAUGCCACAGAACACCGAUUGCGAAGGCAGCUUACCAAAGUACGAUUGACGCUGAGGCACGAAAGCGUGGGGAUCGAACAGGAUUAGAUACCCUGGUAGUCCACGCCCUAAACGAUGAACACUCGAUGUCGGCGAUAGACGGUCGGCGUCCAAGCGAAAGCGUUAAGUGUUCCACCUGGGGAGUACGCCCGCAAGGGUGAAACUCAAAGGAAUUGACGGGGGCCCGCACAAGCGGAGGAGCAUGUGGUUUAAUUCGAUGAUACGCGAGGAACCUUACCCGGGCUUGAAAGUUACUGAAUUGUCCAGAGAUGGACAGGUCCUUCGGGACAGGAAACUAGGUGCUGCAUGGCUGUCGUCAGCUCGUGCCGUGAGGUGUUUGGUUAAGUCCCGCAACGAGCGCAACCCCUAUGUUUAGUUGCCAGCACGUCAAGG
rnacentral:rRNA from 1 species